GCGGUACUUCGACGCAGGUGAGGGUGCGAAAGCCGUUUGAACCGUAACGAAUCUCUGGGGUGCUGCGGAUAGACAACCCGUGUGCACGGCCUGUCCCGCUGGCGGGUCUCGUCCCUAAAGGGGGGGUGGCCCGCGAGUGGGGCAGGAAAGCCUAACGGUUGGCUCGUGGCGCCCACCUCUUUCAGAGGUUCACGGCCUAGCUCCCCACGGCGAAGCAGUCCGCU
rnacentral:other from 1 species